UCAUGUUUGUCUUGUUAAAAGUGUUUUAAAGUGACAUUAGGAACCCCUAAGUACCCUAGUAUGGUAAUAUGUUAUUUCCCUUUAGUUUGAGAGUUUUUGGGGUGUCUUUGGGUGAAAAAUGUUCAUGUAGCUUUUAUGAGUUUUCAUGGAUGUUCUUCAUUGUUCUUGUUACGUUCUUGGCAAGAACAAAAAGGUUGGGAAUUUUGAUUCAAAGUUUUGGUUGAUUACAUAAAGUCUUUGUUUUAAUUAUGGAUGGUGUAACUUUUCAAUCACAAGAUUUUUUUUUUUUUUUGAAAGAGUGAUUGAAAGUUGAAAAUGUGUUUGAUGUUUUGUACAUGAUUGGUACUUCUCUUACACAUCCAUACCUACUUUUUCAAACCAACCCAUCACCUUUCACUUUGUUGAAAAAAUUUCAAAAGUUUUAUGACAAAACUCUCACCAAAACCGGCCACCCCUAAAGUAGGGUACUUUUGGGGCUUUUAUGCAAUUACAUAAAGUUUUGAUACUUUUGUGUAUUUGUACUUUGACCCGAAAAUUUACUUUUUUACGUACAGACCCAAAAUCACUAAAGGACAACUUGUUUUGCUCCUUUAAUGAAGUUUUUGAAUUUGUUGAAAUUUUUGGGUUCUAGUUGUAAUUACAUGAAAUAGUGGACUUUUGUGUUUUUACAAAGGGACCUCAAAAGUUUAUGUUUUGCAAUAUAGCCCAAUGGUUGAGGUUAUUGCUUUUCGGCCCACAUUAGUUGAGAACAAAAUAGUUUUGUAUCUUUAAAUGAGAAUUGGAUUUUCAUUUCAUUUUAGCUCCAUUUAAAUCAAUUCUACGGAUACAAAAACCAAAUGAAAAUGUUGCAUUCAAGUUUAAUUAGUUAAAGCGUUAAUUAAUUAAAGAAAGGGUGAUUAUGAACCUAAGCCUACGAUAAUUGAGCUAUGUGAAAGGCCGUCUCAAAUUUGUUUGAACCAUGGGAAUGUGUAGAUUAGAUUUUGGUUGUAAUUUGAUAUGAUCAAGUGUUGUAAAAGAGCAUAAGCUCUUCUUUAAAGUAAUUUGUUUUGAUCAAAUGUUGUAACAGAGCAUAAGCUCUUCUUUACUUUGAAGUACUCCUUUCUUGUUUUAUUUGAUAUCCAUGAAAUUGGAGUAGUUGGGUCCAACGCCCAAUAGGAAAAACAAUCCUUAAUAUGAUUAAACGCGUAACUAAAAUCAAUCACCAUCCCUAGACCGAGAUCCAACACUAGGCUCAUGUUGGAUCUAAUCAAAGGUCCAUAGUCAUCCUAAGGCCCUAAGGCAACUAUAUAGUCCAUCAAUGAAUGCAAACCUUAUGUUAGUAGUACCAUAUACUCUUGCUUUAAAAACCGUUUUACAAGCAUAGUGGGAAUAUCAUAUACAACUAAAUCAAUCACAUGGACUAAAAGUUGUAAUAGGACCAAAUU
rnacentral:lncRNA from 1 species